rnacentral:rRNA from 1 species
GGUUGACCUCGGAUCAGUAGGGGAUAC